GACGAACGCUGGCGGCGUGCCUAACACAUGCAAGUCGAGCGAUGAAACCCUUCGGGGUGGAUUAGCGGCGGACGGGUGAGUAACACGUGGGUAACCUACCUCAAAGAGGGGGAUAGCCUCCCGAAAGGGAGAUUAAUACCGCAUAACAUUAGUUUUUCGCAUGGAGAACUAAUUAAAGGAGUAAUCCGCUUUGAGAUGGACCCGCGGCGCAUGAGCUAGUUGGUGAGGUAAAGGCUCACCAAGGCGACGAUGCGUAGCCGACUUGAGAGGGUGAGGGGCGACAAUGGAACUGAGACACGGUCCAGACUCCGACGGGAGGCAGCAGUGGGGAAUAUUGCACAAUGGGCGAAAGCCUGAUGCAGCAACGCCGCGUGAGUGAUGAAGGCCUUCGGGUUGUAAAGCUCUGUCUUUUGGGACGAUAAUGACGGUACCAAAGGAGGAAGCCACGGCUAACUACGUGCCAGCCGCCGCAGUAAAAC
rnacentral:rRNA from 1 species